rnacentral:rRNA from 1 species
CGCUUACCGCUUUGUGGUUCAUGACUGGGGUGAAGUCGUAACAAGGUAACCGUAGGGGAACCUGCGGUUGGAUCACCUCCUUA